rnacentral:lncRNA from 10 species
AGCUGGGUGUGGUGGUGCGCACCUGUAGUCCCAGCUACUCGGGAGGCUGAGGCAGGGGAAUCGCUUGAACCCGGGAGUUGGAAGUUGCAGUGAGCCGAGAUGGAGCCACUGCACUCCAGGCUGGGCGACAGAGCGAGACUCUGUCUCAAAAAAAAAAAGAAAGAAAAAAAAGAGUAAGCAGGAGUUCACAAGGUGUGGGAGACUGCUGUGUGUUCACCAAGCCUCAUCUUUCACACCUGGGCACAUGUUGUAGCCCGUUUGCAAAGAUAGCCGUAAUAUUCUCCUGUCCCUGGACAUGCCCUUUGCAAGUUGAUUUUGCCAUUCCUCCCAUUGAGAAGGCACUUUGUCCCCUACUAGUCUGGGUAAGCCUUGAGAGUUGCUUUGACCAAUAGAAUUUGCUAGAAGUGAUAUUGAGCCUAGGCCUGAAGAGGCCUUGUAGCUUCCACUCCUGCCCUAAGACUGUUGCAUGAAGAUACCCAGACUAGUGUCUUUGCAGAUGAACAAUCAUGGUGAAAGAGAAGCCCAGCCGGCAGCCAGCACCAAUCGCCAGCUGUGUGAGUGUGGCCAUCCUGGAUCAUCCAGCCCCAGCUGCCCCACCAGCUGACAGCAGCCACACAAGUGACCCCAGUUGAGACCAAUAAAAGAUCUGCCCAUCUGAUACAGCCCAAACUGCUGAACCCCAGAAUCAUGAACAAAUAAGUAAAAGAAAAGAACACUGGUUGUAUUUUAUGGUUGCACUAUGUCCAGCAGAAAAAGGCAUUCCUCAGUCUCCUUGCAGCAAGGUAAAGCCAUCUGAUAAAAUUUUGUCCAGUUGGAUAUAAGCCAAAAUGUUGCGUGACAAUUUUGGGAGGACUUCCUGAAACAGGUGGACAAACCCUUUUUCUACUGAGUCACCUUUGUGCCACCUGGAACUAACAGUGUGACGCGUGGAAUUUAGGCAGCCAUAUUGAACCAUGAGGACAAGAGCAGUGGGGAUGGCGGAACCAAGAGCUGGAAGGUGCCUGAGUCUCUGGUGAAGAUGUGGAGCUGCUGUAACAGCCCUCAACUCCUAGUUCUGGACUUCUUUUAUGUUUUAGUGUAACGCUUUGGGUAUUUUUAUUUUUUUAAUUUAUUUUAGAGAUGAGGUCUCACUAUGUUGCCUAGGCUGGACUCAAACUCUUAUGCUCAAGCAGUCCUCCUGCCUCAGCUUCAUGAGUAGCUGAAACUAUAGCACUUUGGGUAUUUCAGCCACUGUUUGAGGUUUUUCUAGCACCUCCUGGAAUAUCAAGCUUAACAUGUCCAAUCCUUGCCCCAGAUAUUUUCCUCCCCAAAUUUUCUCAAUCUCAAUAAAUGUCACCACCAUCCACCUGGUUGCUCAGGUCAAAAACCUAGAAAUCAUUCAAGUUCUCUCCCUUUCCCUCAUCCCCAAUAUCCAUUCCAUCAGCAACAUCUGUCCAUUCUACCUCCAAGACAUAUCCCAGAUCUCAUCACCUUUGUCUGCCUCUCCUACCCUCACUCUCAUCCAGCAUCAUCCCUCACCUGGACUCUGCAAAAGCCUACUCGUGGGUCUGUCUGCAUCCCUGUCUGCCUCCUCCAGGGCCAUUCUCCACCCAGUGGCCGGAUCGAUUUUUCAAAGAGGUUGAUCCCAGCUCAACCACUUGCCAUCUGUGUGACCUGUGGGCAAGUGACCUUACCUUUCGGAGCCUCAGUUGCCCCAUCUAUAAAAUGGGAAUGAUGCCAGUGCCUGCCUCAUAAGGAUGAGCCCCGCUCCUGAAGCUCAGGGAGCCCUCUCUGCAAGGCUGUUUUAGUGCAACCUCCGGAAACAUGCCCAUGCAUGUGAAAACUGGCAUGCACAUUCUGGUGCUUUUAAAAACAUCUCGAAGCCUAUCCACAGAUCCUGGACCUCAAGACUGGUUCAGUGCUAGCCCCCCAUUUUACAGAUGUGGAGAAUGAGGCUUAGCGGGUCCCAGGCAAGUCAGUGGCAAAACUCACCAUCUCCUGGGAGCCAUCAGGUUCCUCUGGAUCUGCCCCCACCAAAUUUAUCCCCUGCUCUCUGCUUGAGGGUGCACAUGGGGUGAGGGUGGGGGUCUUUUGUUUUACUCCCUCCCCCUCCUGAGGAGUCAGUAACCAACAGUGUCUGUGCCUGGAAUAUUAAUGUCUCAGCAGCUUUUGUUUGGGGGGUUGGGGGUGGUGGGGGCGGGACUUUCUGGUCAGAGAGGGGCUGAGCUUUGGGGACUGAGGCACUGGCCCUUUAAACUGUGUUGACAGCCAGGAGUCGUCAUGGGGAUGGUGCUUGGAAAAGGGGACAGGGAGGGUUUGGGAAAGAGUGGCGGAGCAGGUAAUGCGUAAGACCCAGGAAUCCAGCCCCCAACUACCUCCUCUCCCAGGACCCAGGAGUCUAGGCUCCCAGCCCCUCCUCCAUCAGGUUCCAGGAGUCUGGAACCCCGGCUUCUUUCCGCCUUAGACCCAGGAAUUCAGCCCCCAACCACCUCCUCUCUCAGGUUCCCGAAAUCCAGACCCCUAGCCCCCUUCUCGAUCAGGACCCAGGAGUCUGGGCUGUCAGCAGCCCCUUCCUUCAAACCUAGGAGUCAGAGCCCCCAGCCCUCUCCUAGCUUAGACACAGG